AAGCACCAAUGAAUGUUGUUAUUUUGGGGUGGAGCUCAUUGCUAUUGAGUCAGACAGGAGCCGAAAUGGAUGUAGAAUUUAUUCUUCCAUUUUUGAUUGAUGGUGGAUCACAUAUUUUUACUAGGAUACACGGUCAUCACUUUAUUACUAACUGUGGACACAAUGGUGUAUUCAUUCAUGCUUUGAUGACAGUUUUUGGAUAUCUAAUUACAGCAGCUACCUGCUACUGUAUUAGUAGAAAGAGAGGAGAAUAUAUC